rnacentral:rRNA from 2 species
AAAUUGAAGAGUUUGAUCAUGGCUCAGAUUGAACGCUGGCGGCAGGCCUAACACAUGCAAGUCGAACGGUAACAGGAAGCAGCUUGCUGCUUCGCUGACGAGUGGCGGACGGGUGAGUAAUGUCUGGGAAACUGCCUGAUGGAGGGGGAUAACUACUGGAAACGGUGGCUAAUACCGCAUAACGUCGCAAGACCAAAGAGGGGGACCUUCGGGCCUCUUGCCAUCAGAUGUGCCCAGAUGGGAUUAGCUAGUUGGUGAGGUAACGGCUCACCAAGGCGACGAUCCCUAGCUGGUCUGAGAGGAUGACCAGCCACACUGGAACUGAGACACGGUCCAGACUCCUACGGGAGGCAGCAGUGGGGAAUAUUGCACAAUGGGCGCAAGCCUGAUGCAGCCAUGCCGCGUGUAUGAAGAAGGCCUUCGGGUUGUAAAGUACUU